rnacentral:rRNA from 1 species
CAGUCGCCGCGGGAAUACGUAGGUGGCAAGCGUUGUCCGGAAUUAUUGGGCGUAAAGGGCUCGCAGGCGGUUUCUUAAGUCUGAUGUGAAAGCCCCCGGCUCAACCGGGGAGGGUCAUUGGAAACUGGGAAACUUGAGUGCAGAAGAGGAGAGUGGAAUUCCACGUGUAGCGGUGAAAUGCGUAGAGAUGUGGAGGAACACCAGUGGCGAAGGCGACUCUCUGGUCUGUAACUGACGCUGAGGAGCGAAAGCAUGGGUAGCGAACAGGAUUAGAUACCCGAGUAGUCCCUGUCUCUUAUAA